rnacentral:rRNA from 1 species
AGAGUUUGAUCAUGGCUCAGAUUGAACGCUGGCGGUAUGCUUAACACAUGCAAGUCGAACGGAAACGAUACUAGCUUGCUAGUAGGCGUCGAGUGGCGGACGGGUGAGUAACGCGUAGGAAUCUACCAGAUAGUGGGGGAUAGCCCGGAGAAAUUCGGAUUAAUACCGCAUAAUCUCUACGGAGUAAAGGAGGCCUCUAUUUAUAUGCUUUCGCUAUCUGAUGAGCCUGCGUAAGAUUAGCUAGUUGGUGAGGUAAAAGCUCACCAAGGCAACGAUCUUUAGCUGGUCUGAGAGGAUGAUCAGCCACACUGGGACUGAGACACGGCCCAGACUCCUACGGGAGGCAGCAGUGGGGAAUAUUGGACAAUGGGGGCAACCCUGAUCCAGCAAUACCGCGUGUGUGAAGAAGGCCUGAGGGUUGUAAAGCAC